AGGACGAACGCUGGCGGCGUGCUUAACACAUGCAAGUCGAGCGGUAAGGCCUUUCGGGGUACACGAGCGGCGAACGGGUGAGUAACACGUGGGUGAUCUGCCCUGCACUUCGGGAUAAGCCUGGGAAACUGGGUCUAAUACCGGAUAUGACCUCCUAUCGCAUGGUGGGUGGUGGAAAGAUUUAUCGGUGCAGGAUGGGCCCGCGGCCUAUCAGCUUGUUGGUGGGUAAUGGCCUACCGAAGGCGACGACGGGUAGCCGACCUGAGAGGGUGACCGGCCACGCUGGGACUGAGCACGGCCCAGACUCCGUACGGGAGCAGCGAGUGGGGAAUAGUUGCACGAAGUGGGACGAAAGCCUGGAUGCAGCGACGCCGCGUGGAGGAGUGAAGGUCCGUUACGGGUUACGUUAAACCUCGUUUCGA
rnacentral:rRNA from 1 species